rnacentral:misc_RNA from 1 species
AAGUCGUAACAAGGUUUCCGUAGGUGAACCUUCGGAAGGAUCAUUACCGAAAUGCAGCGGGGGCAGACGGCCGCAAGGUCGCCGGCCGCCGCGUACACGCAUUCCACCACCCUUGACUUUGAGCACCGUUAUGUUUCCUCGGCAGGGACGCCUGCCAGCGGGGACCCAUCGAACACUUGCAGUAGCAGUAUUUGUCUGAGAAUAAACACAAAAAUCAAAACUUUCAACAAUGGAUCUCUUGGUUCUG